rnacentral:rRNA from 1 species
CAGCCGCCACGGUAAAACGUAGGUGGCGAGCGUUGUCCGGAAUUAUUGGGCGUAAAGGGCUCGCAGGCGGUUUCUUAAGUCUGAUGUGAAAGCCCCCGGCUCAACCGGGGAGGGUCAUUGGAAACUGGGAAACUUGAGUGCAGAAGAGGAGAGUGGAAUUCCACGUGUAGCGGUGAAAUGCGUAGAGAUGUGGAGGAACACCAGUGGCGAAGGCGACUCUCUGGUCUGUAACUGACGCUGAGGAGCGAAAGCGUGGGGAGCGAACAGGAUUAGAGACCCCUGUAGUCCCUGUCUCUUAUAC